rnacentral:antisense_RNA from 1 species
UUUAAAAAAUCCAAACUAUUUAUUGAAAAGCUCUACUAAACAAAAUUAGUUCAGACAAAGCAAUAAGAUGACGAAUCAAGCUCUCUCCAGAGAUGAAAGAAAAGCCAGUCUCAAAGAUGACUAUAACUAACGCUGUUGCUGGAAAGACAAGGGCACCGAGCCAGCCCUGGGAGAGGCUCCACUUCUUCAAAGACAAAACGAUUCCAAACGUGGCAGGACACAGUGCUCACCCUACAGUGAACAUCUGGGAAUAUGUUAUUUUUUAAAUUCAGUUAAUCUUUCUUCUUCUUUUUUUUUUUUUUUUUUUGAGACAGAGUCUCCUGUCACCCAGGCUGGAGUGGUGCAGGGGUGCGAUCUCAGCUCACUGCAACCUCCACCUCCUGGGUUCAAAUGAUUCUCGGGCCUCAGCCUCACAAGUAGCUGGAAUUACAGGCAUGCGCCACCAAUACCCAGCUAAUCUUUGUAUUUUUAGUAGAGAUAGGGUUUCAUUAUGUUGUCCAGGCUGGGAGACAGAGCAAGACCCCAACUCAAACAAAAACAAA